rnacentral:rRNA from 1 species
GUGCCAGCCGCCGCGGUAAUACGGAGGGUGCAAGCGUUACUCGGAAUCACUGGGCGUAAAGCGCGCGCAGGCGGCCAUUUAAGUUGGAUGUGAAAGCCUACAGCUCAACUGUAGAACUGCAUCCAAAACUAUUUGGCUAGAGUGUGGGAGAGGAAGAUGGAAUUAGUUGUGUAGGGGUAAAAUCCGUAGAGAUAACUAGGAAUACCAAAAGCGAAGGCAAUCUUCUGGAACACUACUGACGCUGAGGCGCGAAAGCGUGGGGAGCAAACAGGAUUAGAUACCCUGGUAGUCCACGCAGUAAACGAUGAAUGUUAGUCGUCGGGUAGCUAGUCUAUUCGGUGAUGCAGCUAACGCAUUAAACAUUCCGCCUGGGGAGUACGGUCGCAAGAUUAAAACUCAAAGGAAUAGACGGGGACCCGCACAAGUGGUGGAGCAUGUGGUUUAAUUCGAAGAUACGCGAAGAACCUUACCUAGCCUUGACAUAUAUUAGAACAUUUUAGAGAUAGAAUGGUGCCUUCGGGAGCUUUUAUACAGGUGCUGCACGGCUGUCGUCAGCUCGUGUCGUGAGAUGUUGGGUUAAGUCCCGCAACGAGCGCAACCCUCGUCACUAGUUACUAACGGUUCGGCCGAGGACUCUAGUGAGACUGCCUUCGCAAGGAGGAGGAAGGUGAGGACGACGUCAAGUCAUCAUGGCCCUUACGGCUAGGGCAACACACGUGCUACAAUGGUUGGGACAAUGAGACGCAAUACCGCGAGGUGGAGCAAAUCUAUAAACCCAAUCUCAGUUCGGAUUGUUCUCUGCAACUCGAGAACAUGAAGCUGGAAUCACUAGUAAUCGUAGAUCAGCUAUGCUACGGUGAAUACGUUCCCGGGUCUUGUACUCACCGCCCGUCACACCAUGGGAGUUGAUUUCACCCGAAGCGGGGAAGCUAAACUGGCUACCCUCCACGGUGGAAUUAGCGACUGGGGUGAAGUCGUAACAAGGUAGC